rnacentral:rRNA from 1 species
UACGGGGGGGGCAAGCGUUGUUCGGAAUUACUGGGCGUAAAGGGCGCGUAGGCGGUCAGACCAAGUCGAAUGUGAAAUUCCAGGGCCUAACUCUGGCGGGUCGUUCGAUACUGGUCGACUAGAGUGUAGAAGAGGAUGUCGGAAUUCCCGGUGUAGCGGUGAAAUGCGCAGAUAUCAGGAGGAACACCGGUGGCGAAGGCGGGUCUCUGGGCCGAUACUGACGCUGAGGAGCGAAAGCGUGGGGAGCAAACAGG